AGUUUCUGUUGUCGGGUCGUUGGAAGAGAAUAAUUCUUCUUCUCCUUGCCGCCUGGCUUGGACGAGGCAUUACCGUACCAGAUCAUCCCGAGUACUGCAAUGAUCAUGCCAAGAAUCACAUGCAGGUUUAGACCAUCUCUGUCAAAGAAGAAGAAGCCCAUUACAAGCACCAAGAUCGUCUUCAUAUGGCCCAGGACUUGGAAUGACACUGCUGUGAAUCUCCCG